UAAUUCUAUAAAUAAGUGAAAUGGGAUUUGCUUCUUGACAAAUCUUGAUCAUGAUUUUCAUAUAUAUUAUAAGUAAUAUUCAACUUUAGAUUAUUUGAAUCAGGAGCUGGUUAACAAUGUUGAAGAAUCACAUGAUAUGCCUAUCGAUCAUCAGAGAGAUUUUUAAGGUAAACAAGAAUUUGUGUGAUCAAGACUCGUUGUGUCCUACCAAGACGGCGCUAGCUCAGACGAGACCCCUCUGAUCAAGACGAUAGCAUGAUCUGAUGCCGUCUCCCUCCCUCAAAAGGGCCUACUUGGUUCCACUUUAUAUUCCCAAUUCAAAUCAACUUCACAUAUGAAAACUGAAGGGGCCAUGCCUUAUUUGAAUCUGCUGAUAUUUCACAAUCUAUCAGCUCGGCCCACCAUGAAAACUACGCGCUUUAACAUAGAAAAUGAUUGAUUUUUUUUUGCACAAAAAAACAAAUGUGAAGAAGUUAGCAGAAGAGAGAUGGAGUUUCUGUUAACAGAUUAUAGUUUCUUGUAGCAGAUCAUGGUUUCUAAAGAAGAAAAAAAAAAUGGAUAAGUAAUUUUUCAUUUCUUUUGUGAUUCAUAUACAUUCCUUUUUCCUAAUAGAGUAUGCUACUCUAAAACAAUGAAGAAACCUUUGUUAGAGAAACUAUAUAUAUGUAUUUCACUUUGUGCUUAGGCAAGACGCGAUGUCAAUGAACAAGUCUUGGCUGCAAGGAAUGGUUAGGCCGCCCAUUGGCUGAUGGAACCCGAAUUCCUCCUCUGCU
rnacentral:lncRNA from 1 species